CCUACGGGAGGCAGCAGUGAGGAAUAUUGCACAAUGGAGGGAACCCUGAUCCAGCGACGCCGCGUGAGUGAAGAAGUUAUUCGUUAUGUAAAGCUCUAUCAGCAGUGACGAAAGUGACGGUACCUGAAAAAGAAGCCCCGGCUAAAUACGUGCCAGCAGCCGCGGUAAUACGUAUGGAGCAAGAGUUGUCCGGAUUUACUGGGGGUAAAGGGAGAGUAGGCGGCAGGGCAAGUCCGAGGGGAAAACCCAAAGCUCAACCCAGGGAAUGCUUUAGAGACUGCGCAGCUAGAGUGAAGGAGAGGCAAGUGGAAUACUUAGUGUAGAGGUGAAAUGCGUAGAUAUUAGGAGGAACACCAGUGGCGAAGGCGGCUUGCUGGACUGUAACUGACGCUGAGGCUCGAAAGCGUGGGGAGCAAACAGGAUUAGAUACCCUAGUAGUC
rnacentral:rRNA from 1 species